UCCUCUCGCCGCCCACCUCGCAAGCCCGCCCGUCCGCCCCGCCCCGGUCGGCCCCACCCCUCCUCCUCGUGCGCCCGCCCGCCCCAAACUCCGGCAAACAAAACGCACCAUUCACAACUCUGCGACCGGAGCCGCGCAUGCGCCGCCCACCCGCUUGCGGGGCGGCUGGACUGCAGCGAGCCAGAGGUGCGGCCCUCUCACCGUUGCGGGCCCGCGGUUUCUUCUGUGUGGAACUGCUCUGCGGACAUCUGCCCGGACCUUGGAGAGAGGGAGCCGCUCGCGCGGUUCCUUUCUGUCGACUGUAUGAAACUUUGGGGCUUCUCAGCUGCUUGGAGUGACCCCAGAUUGUCACCUGAACCAAACUAAACUGAACCAAAAAAACCUAUGGGACAGGCUGCGGUAUGCCCAGGUCGAGUUGCAGGAGAGGCCAGAGUGAGGAGUCUGGAUGUAGCACCAAGACCUACACCAAUGGACAAGCGAGGACGGAGUAUGGAUAUCCUGAGGUCCCUCCUGAGAUAAUGAAGAAAAAAGUCAGGUCCUUAAUGCUGGUACAGUCUCAUCCAAAAGGCCAUCUUCUCCUCCUUGAGCUUCACACCCACCCUCGUGAUGAAAUCCAACUGCAGCUCUUACUGCUCCGGGACUGCAGGAUGUACCCAAGCACUUGGACAUCCCCAGAAGAGCCAAUGGGAUCCGAUCUCAUGCACAGUACUACCCAAGAGGAAUCCUCUGCUACUCCUGCUGGGGUGGGCACCCCUUCUAUUGACUUACAAAAGCCGGGCUCCUGAUUCCCCGCUCCGGCCCCCGGCCCCGCCCACCUCAGGAAACCCAGGAUGCCGAGCCUGUGCUGCAGAAGCACGAGCACCACUUUCUCGCGAGAGGCCAGCUGCGUGCCAUCGUACGUGGAAGCGGAGCCCACGAGGAAGGCACCUCCUGGGAACCAGACCAUCACCUGGACAUGGAAAGCCGAGGCCUGAGCUGGGCGGUGGGGUGCCUGAGUGGGAUGGCGCGUGGAAGAGGAUGAAUACUCACCGGCAGCGGAGCGUCCCCACGCGCGCGCACUGGAGCGUACACGUUCAGGUACAGACAGUCCUCACUGAAGCGCAGCCACUUGUACUGUUUACGCGUGUUGAAGUACAUGGAGGUGAUCUGUCCCCAGGACUCCUGAAGGCACCUGCGGUCACGAUGUGAGUUUGGGCCCAACGUGGUGGCCAAAGACGGGAGAAUGGUUGCAAACCCAGGUUCCGCAGUUGAGGAAAUAGAACCAAAAGCAAAAUUUAGGAUGCGUGCGUGUGUGUGUGUGUGUGUGUGUGUGUGUGUAUCUGUUUGUGUCCGAAUAGCCUCCACUAGCAUUAGGGUCCAGGGUGAGUGCAGCGCCAGGUCAGACCCAGGGCAAGAUCCACCCCUCUGUCUUGCCCCCGGUCCCAGGAAUCUGCCUGGGGAGAGGUUCCAUGCUUCUGUUGGAGACCCUUUUGGUGCUGUCAAGCCAGAAACCUGGGUGUCCUGGGAUUUCAUGCCCCCAUCCUUCAGGCUCUUUUCUGUCUCCCAAACAGCUCUUAAAUAGGCCUCCUCCAUCCCAGAGAUGCUGCCUUGUAAAGGCCAUUACCUACUCUGGCCAGGACACUGCCCCAACCUCUUUAACAUCGCUUCCAACUCAUCCUCCACACCCUGACCGGAAGGAUUGACAGAAAACAAAAACCUAUUUCACUUCCCUCCUUAAAACCUUCCUGGGCCCCCCUGCGCUCAGGAUAAGGUCCAGAUUCACCCAUACUGAUGCAGGCCCUCUCCAUCUAGUCUUCCUGGCACUCUUUGCUCUAGAUGCCCACGGACCCUUCCUUGUCUCCCAUCUCGAAGCCCUUUUGCUUAUGUCCCUUCUGCCUAAUGUUUUCUCUGCCUGGCAAACUCCUGCUUAUGUUUAAGGCUCAGCUAAAGUGGUGCCCCCUCUGCUGGGCACUUCCUGUCUGUGCUUCCCAAAGUUCUAUCCACGCUGGGUUAGAGUUGUUUCGAUUGGUUUGGUUGUUAUUCUCCCCAAGCAACCAUGCACUCCCUAGGGGCAGGGAUGGAUGUGGAUUUGUCUGAGUCCUGGCACUCAGCCCAGUGCCUUGUACCAUGUGAACAUUUGAUGUACUUGUGGAGCUUGGGCUGUUGGGCCACCUCAUCUUUUCUCCCUGCUGGCCCAGCCUAGAGUGUGGCUAUUGCCAAUAGUUGGGGCUGGGCCCAUCUGACUGGCUGCAGGAAAGCCUGUCUAUUCUACUCCUUUCUCCACUUGUUCCCUUGCUGCUCUGGCCUGAAGCUAGUCAUUACCCAAACUGGCCACUAGUCUUCUUGUCUCCUUAACUACCAUCCCACAGUCUGUUGUAAGCCAUCCACAAAUUCUUCUACCUGUCACUCUGUGUUCCAAACAGCUAUUGUCUGACAGCUCAUGGCAAAGGUUGCAACAACUGACACCUGGACUUCUAUGCAAUGGGCACCCCACUCUCUAAACCCCUGAUCCUCGGGGCUCUAAUAAUGGUCAUCCCCUGUUCUGUCACCUGAUCCAUGGGAUUCCACAUAACAAUCACAGAAGGUUCAGAUGUCUUGGUUUCUCUCACUGGUGGUCAGUGUUCUAACAACUAACACCCCAGUGUUCUACUAACAGCCAUUCAUGUUCUAACAGUGGAUGCCCUGUUCUCAACAGUUAGACACCCUGGGUGGUGGUUAUAGUUUUUAGAUAUCAACUGACACCCAGGUUCUCACAGUAGACAUUUUUCUAAACCCAGUGCUGUAUCCAACUGAUUGUUAAUGAUUGCCACAGAAUAUUCUGGUCAGUGGGUUACUCAAUGAUCUGAAUAAAUAAUAAAUACACUUGUUCUGGGUAAAUUGCCAAGCCUAGUGCUUCAAAGGGCAGUCAUUAUCUCAACAUGCUCAUGUGACUCAGGAUUUGAGCCCUGUUAGAGGUUGCAUUAAGAUUCUGGGACUUUGGGGUGCUUGGGUGACUCGGUUGGGUUCAGGUCAUGAUCUCAGGGUCAUGGGAUUGAGCCCUGCAUGGGGCUCUGUGCUGCAUGUGGAGCCUGCUUAAGAUGCUCUCUCUCCCUCUGCCCCUCCCUUGCUCAAGCACUCGUACAUGCACUCUCUCUCUCUCUCUCUCUCUGAAAAAGAAAAAAUUCUGGGAUAUUAAAACUGAAACUGAGCCUGUGACUCCCUAUCUUGGAGCUCCUUCUGCAGGGAAGGGCUGAUGGUGUCGUGUGGGCUUGUUCUGGGGCUCAAGCCCCAAGUGAGAGGGAAGAGCUCAGGGUUCACUGGGUAUGGUGUGUGUGUGUGUAUGUGUGUGUGUGUGUGAGAGAGAGAGAGAGACAGAGACAGAGAGACGGAGACAGAGACAGAGAGAACUCCUCCUCACAUACUUUUAGGAAAACUUAGGUUCCCAGAAGAUCCUGGAGGCACAUCAGUGAGCACCUCCUCCUUGUCUGGAGCUUUCCCAUAAGAAAGCCAAGAACAAACAGCAUUAACAGUCCUGUAAACAUCAUCUGGGCCAACUACUUCAUAUAUAGGUUUGGAAACUGAGGGCCGGAAUGGACCCCAGGCUACUUACAGUCAUACAGUGCACUCUUUUUAGUGAGUUGUUCAAACUCUGGCCCAGAGGCCGGCAUAGAUACCACCCCCCCCUUAGAGUUUGCCCACCUCCCAGCCAACAGUCAUUUGGCUCUUACGCAGGGGCAUAGGUGGUGGCGUUUUUGAUUCCUUCCCAGGGCUCUGGGGCAGCAAACCUGCGGACACCCACAGGCGGUCUGGAGAAGGGCACUCCUAGGAAGACAUUGAUGGGUGUCUUCCCGACGUGCAUCUGUUUUCCUUGGAGGGUCCCAUAUUUGGUAAUCACUAGAGGUUCCUUGGUGUGCUGAGCACCUAGGAAGAGAGGAGAAGGGUCACUCUGGCCACUGAAAGGACUCUGGCCUGUCUGCCAUGGCACCAGUUGCAGCUUGAAGCUUUUCACAAUUGUGUAUUUUGCCUACCUUUUCUGUGUUUCUCUCAGUAUUUUUCUCUCUCAUUAUUUAAGGUUUCAAUGCUAUGUUGAUAGGUGCAUAAAGGUUCAUGUCUAUUAUAGGAAUUAUUUUUCUGUCAUUUAAUGUAUCAUUUAAUGUCAAUAAUCAUGUCAUUUAUUUUGA